UGCCGCGUGCAGGAUGAAGGCCUUCGGGUUGUAAACUGCUUUUGUACGGAACGAAAAGACUCCUUCUAAUACAGGGGGUCCAUGACGGUACCGUAAGAAUAAGCACCGGCUAACUACGUGCCAGCAGCCGCGGUAAUACGUAGGGUGCAAGCGUUAAUCGGAAUUACUGGGCGUAAAGCGUGCGCAGGCGGUUAUGUAAGACAGAUGUGAAAUCCCCGGGCUCAACCUGGGAACUGCAUUUGUGACUGCAUAGCUAGAGUACGGUAGAGGGGGAUGGAAUUCCGCGUGUAGCAGUGAAAUGCGUAGAUAUGCGGAGGAACACCGAUGGCGAAGGCAAUCCCCUGGACCUGUACUGACGCUCAUGCACGAAAGCGUGGGGAGCAAACAGGAUUAGAUACCCUGGUAGUCCACGCCCUAAACGAUGUCAACUGGUUGUUGGGUCUUCACUGACUCAGUAACGAAGCUAACGCG
rnacentral:rRNA from 1 species